rnacentral:rRNA from 1 species
UACAGAGGAGCCAAGCGUUGUCCGGAUUGACUGGGCGUAAAGAGCUCGUAGGCGGUGUGUCGCGUCGGCCGUGAAAACCUGCAGCUUAACUGUGGGCGUGCGGUCGAUACGGGCAUCACUGGAGUUCGGCAGGGGAGACUGGAAUUCCUGGUGUAGCGGUGAAAUGCGCAGAUAUCAGGAGGAACACCGGUGGCGAAGGCGGGCUCUGGCGGCUACUGACUGCGUGAGGAGCGAAAAGCGUGGGGAGCGAACAGG